rnacentral:rRNA from 1 species
CCGCGUGAGUGAAGAAGGCCUUCGGGUUGUAAAGCUCUUUUGUCAGGGAAGAAACGGUUUGGUCUAAUACACCGAACUAAUGACGGUACCUGAAGAAUAAGCACCGGCUAACUACGUGCCAGCAGCCGCGGUAAUACGUAGGGUGCAAGCGUUAAUCGGAAUUACUGGGCGUAAAGCGUGCGCAGGCGGUUGUGCAAGACAGAUGUGAAAUCCCCGGGCUCAACCUGGGAAUUGCAUUUGUGACUGCACGGCUAGAGUGUGUCAGAGGGGGGUAGAAUUCCACGUGUAGCAGUGAAAUGCGUAGAUAUGUGGAGGAAUACCGAUGGCGAAGGCAGCCCCCUGGGAUAACACUGACGCUCAUGCACGAAAGCGUGGGGAGCAAACAGGAUUAGAUACCCUGGUAGUCCACGCCCUAAACGAUGUCAACUAGUUGUCGGGUCUUAAUUGACUUGGUAACGCAGCUAACGCGUGAAGUUGACCGCCUGGGGAGUACGGUCGCAAGAUUA